GUGUUCGUGUGUGGUGUGCGCGUGCGCAUGUGUGUGCGCGUGCGUGCGUGUGCGUGUGCGGUGUGCGCGUGUGCGUGUGCGUGUGUGGUGUGUUAGGAGACAGGCUUCUUUAUGGGCUCAGAGGGCCCGUGUCAGCCAGGGUUCUCGAGAGAAACAGCCCAUAGGGUUUGCAUGUGUGCACGGCAUAGAUAGCAGUUUAUUCUUACUUACUUGUUUAGAUAGGCAGACAGAUGAGGUGGAUGGAUGGAUAGAUAUCGAUUGAUAAUAGAGAUGAUAGAUAGGUACGUGGAUGGAUAGCUAGAUGAUAGAUGCACAGAUGAUACGUGGAUGGGUGAAUGGACAAGUAGGUAAUAGAUGGGUGGGUGGAUAAAUGACGGAUAGAUGAUUGUUUGGUUGAUAGGUGGGUACAUAGGUAUGUAGAUAGAUAAGCAGAUAGAUGGAUGAAGAGGUAGAUGAUAGAAAGAUAGAUAAUAGAAUAGAUAUGAUGGAUGCAUAGAUCAAUGAGAGAUAGAUGAUAGAGAUAGAUGACAGAAAAUACAUGAUAGAUGGAGGGAUGGGUGAAUAGAUAAUAGAUGGGUGGAUGGAUAAAUGAUAGAUGAACAGAGAGAUGAUAAAAAGAUAAACGAUCGGUAUAUAGAUCAUGUAUACGUGCACAGGUGAUAGAUGAUAAAUGAAUAGGUGGAUGGUAGAUGGACGAAUAGGUGAUGUUGAAGACAGAUGAUUACUAGAUGAGAGAGAUACAUGUAGGUGACUGGUAGGUAAUAGAUGGAUAGGUAGAUACAUAGGUAGAAAGACAGAUAAACGAAGUAGACGGCAUAUGUGGUAAUUGGACGGAUGAAGGGUGACAGUGAGGGUUUGCUGGGUGCACAGAGCUCUCGAGGGUGUUCUCAGAGCAGAGGGUGCUACGGAUGGUCCUUGAGCAGAUGGAGAGAGGCAGGGGCUCAGAAGACCCCAGAGCAGGAGACACAGCAUCCCUUCUGUGGUGAGCAGGGAAGCAGGGUGCUGGCGGAAGCCCCCCAGAGCCACCCCUCAUACGAGAGGCGGACAAGUACACGCUAAAGAUUUGGGUCGCAGGAUGCAGAACAUCCCCCCAGCCAGAGCAUCUUAGUAAUGUUCUCCUCCAGUUUUAAAAAUAUAUAUUUAUUUAUUACGUU